rnacentral:rRNA from 1 species
AACAGGAUUAGAUACCCUGGUAGUCCACGCCCUAAACGAUGUCUACUAGUUGUCGGGACUUAAUUGUCUUGGUAACGCAGCUAACGCGUGAAGUAGACCGCCUGGGGAGUACGGUCGCAAGAUUAAAACUCAAAGGAAUUGACGGGGACCCGCACAAGCGGUGGAUGAUGUGGAUUAAUUCGAUGCAACGCGAAAAACCUUACCUACCCUUGACAUGGCAGGAAUCCUGAAGAGAUUUAGGAGUGCUCGCAAGAGAACCUGCACACAGGUGCUGCAUGGCUGUCGUCAGCUCGUGUCGUGAGAUGUUGGGUUAGGUCCCGCAACGAGCGCAACCCUUGUCAUUAGUUGCUACGAAAGGGCACUCUAAUGAGACUGCCGGUGACAAACCGGAGGAAGGUGGGGAUGACGUCAAGUCCUCAUGGCCCUUAUGGGUAGGGCUUCACACGUCAUACAAUGGUACAUACAGAGGGCUGCCAACCCGCGAGGGGGAGCUAAUCCCAGAAAGUGUAUCGUAGUCCGGAUUGUAGUCUGCAACUCGACUACAUGAAGUUGGAAUCGCUAGUAAUCGCGGAUCAGCAUGUCGCGGUGAAUACGUUCCCGGGUCUUGUACACACCGCCCGUCACACCAUGGGAGCGGGUUCUGCCAGAAGUAGGUAGCUUAACCGUAAGGAGGGCGCUUACCACGGCAGGGUUCGUGACUGGGGUGAAGUCGUAACAAGGUAACC